rnacentral:rRNA from 1 species
UACGUAGGGUGCGAGCGUUGUCCGGAAUUAUUGGGCGUAAAGAGCGUGUAGGCGGCCACACAGGUCAGCUGUGAAAACUCGAGGCUCAACCUCGAGACGUCGGUUGAAACCGUAUGGCUAGAGUCCGGAAGAGGAGAGUGGAAUUCCCGGUGUAGCGGUGAAAUGCGCAGAUAUCGGGAAGAACACCCGUGGCGAAGGCGGCUCUCUGGGACGGUACUGACGCUGAGACGCGAAAGCGUGGGGAGCGAACAGG